rnacentral:lncRNA from 1 species
UGCCUUGAAAGUCUUUGAUUGGAGUCAAAAGUUUGUCUGCCAUCUGCUGCUUUUGAAAAGAGUGCCAUAAUUGUCUGCUAUCUGCUGUUUUUGAAAAGAGUGCCACAGUUUUGAGUGAGACUCAUGAUGGAAUGGUGAUGUCGGCCUUGAAUUUCCUGCAUUGAGAAAGGUUUGUUGAAAAUUUUUUAUUUUUCUUUCUUUUUUCUUUUGUCUCUUUUUUCUUUUCUUUUUUGUUGUUUUGACUUUUUCAUCUUUUUCUUUUCUUUUUUCUUUUGCUUCUUUUUUCUUUUCUUUUUUAUUAAUAGGAUGAACAGGUAGUCAGAAAUCAAAGGGAUCUUGUUCACAUGGUCCUCCAUAAUCUGCACAAGAUCCUUCAGAGGUGGUAUCUUCUGUUUCUGAUUCUCUUUUCAUCUUGAUGAAUUGUAAAUAUUCUUUUGUUGUUUCGGGAUCCUCUUCAAAGAGUUGGAACAUCUUGACUUGCUUUUGAGAAAGAGGAACUGAUUCCUUUUCUUUUUUC